GCGGGCUGGGCAAGGGGCGCCGGGCAGCCAGUCUUCCUCACUCUCCUGGGGGCGGGGGGCACGCUUCUGGCGGUGGGGUGCUGCAGGGGUAGUGCUCAGGCACGGUGACGGCGCCCCGGCUUUCCUUGUGCUGGCAGGAGAGAGGCCAGGCGGGUGAGAGGUGACAGCUUGUUUCCCCUUUCUGCGCUGGGUGCGUGCACUUUUGUGCUCAGUCGGAGAAACGCUUCUAGCGCUGAAGUCUCGGUCUGUGCUGCUGUUUCUGUGAGGGUCACCAUCUACCAAAGGCUGGAGUUAGCUGGGUACCUAAGUGAGCCUGAGAGUCCCCAAGGGGCUAUGUGACAUCCUGCCAAUGAAGUGGAGCUGGAGGAGGUGACCCGAGCAGUGUAGAGUCGCUCUUAAUUGUUAGGACAAUUACAGGCCUCAGAGCAGGAUAGUUCUGGAAAGGCUGUGCAGUUGCUGGACUGCUCGGUAACUGUUCUUUGGCAGGUGCUGACGUACAGCCUGGCAUCGAAGGAGCAGUACAGCUGGGAGCGCUGCAGACAUCUGUGGCCAGCUGUGGAGGGCACACUCAGACUUGCACCGUUGGCACAGCCAAGUCCUGUGGCAGUGUGGCACAUGAGGGAGGCUGAAUGGGUGGAAGGUGGUUGUGUCCUAGUUGGGGAUGGGGAAUACUGUGUGACAGUCUGCAUGCGGCUGGGUGGAAGGAGCUGAAGGGGGCAGUGUUUAAGAUGGAAGCUGAGUGGGGGUACUGAGCAGGACACACAUUUGCUAAGCAGUGGCAAUUUGAAUGAUGCACCAAGCAGUUUGUCAGCUUGAACUACAAAUGUUCAGAAUAUGGGUAACAGACUAAAAGAGUAAUUACUGUUUUAUAUAAUAAGAAGUAUUUCGCCAGCUGUAGUAUUUUACCUUUGUUCUGAGACAUUUUCUGGUUAGUCUUUAGGCCAGAGACAAAGGUUUUAGCUGUUUAACUGUUGUUAGUGACUGCAGGAAGAAUAUUACCUGUUGCAACAAAUGCUUCUCUCUUGGCAGGUUCUACAUUCUGCAUUAGUAGGUGCUAUACAGGAAAAGCGCACCAUUUCUGUUGGUACUACAUUUGAUGAACUACUUUCCCAUGUAACUUCGUAUCAUCUUAAGCUAUUUAUAUUUAAAGAAAGGUUUGCAUUCAGCCUAGUAAAAUGAAGUUUAAUUACCAACCUGGUCAGGUUGUAGGUGCAAUGUACAGAGCUGUAGCAAAGGGGCGGGUGGUGUCACCUCCGGCAGCCAUCCAUUCCUUGGUCUGGUGCUUGGUGCACUGCAAACCCAAGCCAGAGCAGGAGGCGUGCUGCUGUGCCUCCCCAUCCAGGGAGGUUUUUUGUUCCCCCCCAGUAUUUUUUUUUUUUUCUUCCCCCUGGUCCUGGCUGUUCUGCUGUAUGUAACGCAGUGACAGGCCGCAGGGAGAUGGCUACAGGUCUGACACUGGAUGGGUGUGUGGAGGUGAAGCAGACGCCCAGCACAGA